GGGUGUGAGGGUGAUCUGGCUGCUACAUCUGUCACCCCCAUUGAUCAACAGGGUUGAUUCGGCUGAUCUGGCUGGCUAGGCAGAUGUCCCUUUCCUCUCUCACCACUCCAUGUGCAUCCCUCCCAAAGCUGUGCACGUGGUCAAAGAGGACGACCUUCCCCAAUAGAGUAGGACUGUUCUUCAGUCAAGGGUAUAGGAGUAGCUGCGCUCCCCUGCUAGAACCUCCAAACAAGCUCUCAAGAGCCUUCUGACAUGAUAGCUUCUCAGCAAAGGAAUGGCCUACAUUGGAAACUACUGAGUUC
rnacentral:snRNA from 1 species